rnacentral:rRNA from 1 species
AUAUCAGUUAUAGUUUAUUUGAUAGUCCCUUACUACUUGGAUAACCGUAGUAAUUCUAGAGCUAAUACAUGCGUCAAUACCCUUCUGGGGUAGCAUUUAUUAGAUUGAAACCAACCCCUUCGGGGUGAUGUGGUGAAUCAUAAUAAUUUUGUGGAUCGCCAGUGGCGAUGGAUCAUUCAAGUUUCUGCCCUAUCAGCUUUGGACGGUAAGUUAUGGGCUUACCGUGGCUUUAACGGGUAACGGGGAAUUGGGGUUGGAUUCCUGAGAGGGAGCCUGAGUGACGGC